rnacentral:snRNA from 1 species
GUGUUUGCUUCGGCAGCACAUACACUAAAAUUGGAACGAUACAGAGAAGAUUAGCAUGGCCCCUGCACGAGGAUUAUAUGCAAAUUCAUGAAGUGUUCCAUAUUUUU